rnacentral:rRNA from 1 species
CAGUCGCCGCGGUAAUACGUAGGGUGCGAGCGUUAAUCGGAAUUACUGGGCGUAAAGCGGGCGCAGACGGUUACUUAAGCAGGAUGUGAAAUCCCCGGGCUCAACCUGGGAACUGCGUUCUGAACUGGGUGACUAGAGUGUGUCAGAGGGAGGUAGAAUUCCACGUGUAGCAGUGAAAUGCGUAGAGAUGUGGAGGAAUACCGAUGGCGAAGGCAGCCUCCUGGGAUAACACUGACGUUCAUGCCCGAAAGCGUGGGUAGCAAACAGGAUUAGAUACCCCCGUAGUCCCUGUCUCUUAUAC